rnacentral:rRNA from 1 species
AACCCUUGUCCUUAGUUACCAGCACGUUAUGGUGGGCACUCUAAGGAGAACUGCCGGUGACAAACCGGAGGAAGGUGGGGAUGACGUCAAGUCAUCAUGGCCCUUACGGCCUGGGCUACACACGUGCUACAAUGGUCGGUACAAAGGGUUGCCAAGCCGCGAGGUGGAGCUAAUCCCAUAAAACCGAUCGUAGUCCGGAUCGCAGUCUGCAACUCGACUGCGUGAAGUCGGAAUCGCUAGUAAUCGUGAAUCAGAAUGUCACGGUGAAUACCGUUCCCGGGCCUU